AGUCUGAACCUGGCUUAGGGAGAACGCUGGCGGCGUGCUUAACACAUGCAAGUUCAACGAAGAAACCCAGCUUUGUAGGUGGGUUAGUGGCGAACGGGUGAGUAAUACGUGAGUGACCUACCUUUUGACUCUGGGAUAAGCCUGGGAAACUGGGUUCUAAUACCGGAUACCACCAAUCUCCGCAUGGGGUGUUUGGUGGAAAGCGUUAUGGAGUGGUUUUUAGAUGGGCUCACGGCCUAUCAGCUUGUUGGUGAGGUAAUGGCUUACCAAGGCGACGACGGGUAGCCGGCCUGAGAGGGUGACCGGCCACACUGGGACUGAGACACGGCCCAGACUCCUACGGGAGGCAGCAGUGGGGAAUAUUGCACAAUGGGCGCAAGCCUGAUGCAGCGACGCCGCGUGAGGGAUGACGGCCUUCGGGUUUGUAAACCUCUGUUAGCAUCGAAGAAGCGAAAGUUGACGGUAGGUGCAGAGAAAGCGCCGGCUAACUACGUGCCAGCAGCCGCGGUAAUACGUAGGGCGCGAGCGUUGUCCGGAAUUAUUGGGCGUAAAGAGCUUGUAGGCGGUUGGUCGCGUCUGCUGUGAAAGGCUGGGGCUUAACCCUGGUUUUGCAGUGGGUACGGGCUAACUAGAGUGCAGUAGGGGAGACUGGAAUUCCUGGUGUAGCGGUGGAAUGCGCAGAUAUCAGGAGGAACACCGAUGGCGAAGGCAGGUCUCUGGGCUGUAACUGACGCUGAGAAGCGAAAGCAUGGGGAGCGAACAGGAUUAGAUACCCUGGUAGUCCAUGCCGUAAACGUUGGGCACUAGGUGUGGGGGACAUUCCACGUUUUCCGCGCCGUAGCUAACGCAUUAAGUGCCCCGCCUGGGGAGUACGGCCGCAAGGCUAAAACUCAAAGAAAUUGACGGGGGCCCGCACAAGCGGCGGAGCAUGCGGAUUAAUUCGAUGCAACGCGAAGAACCUUACCAAGGCUUGACAUAUACUGGACUGCGUCAGAGAUGGCGUUUCCCUUCGGGGCUGGUAUACAGGUGGUGCAUGGCUGUCGUCAGCUCGUGUCGUGAGAUGUUGGGUUAAGUCCCGCAACGAGCGCAACCCUCGUUCUAUGUUGCCAGCACGUGAUGGUGGGGACUCAUAGGAGACUGCCGGGGUCAACUCGGAGGAAGGUGGGGAUGACGUCAAAUCAUCAUGCCCCUUAUGUCUUGGGCUUCACGCAUGCUACAAUGGCCGGUACAGAGGGUUGCGAUACUGUGAGGUGGAGCUAAUCCCUAAAAGCCGGUCUCAGUUCGGAUUGGGGUCUGCAAACUCGACCCCAUGAAGUCGGAGUCGCUAGUAAUCGCAGAUCAGCAAACGCUGCGGUGAAUACGUUUCCCGAGCCUUGUCCCCACCGCCC
rnacentral:rRNA from 1 species